UAAGGUUGAGAGGCGUCUGGUUGGAUUUCAACUAGCUGGUUGGAGAGCUUGAGGGGUAAAAUGGGAGAGCUGUUGGUUCUUCAAUGUCUACAUCUGGAGGCUUUUACUGUUUUACACAGCCAUAGUUCACCGACUUCAGUUUUGGCUUCCAUUCUUCACCGACUUCCUUGCCUUCUUCUCUUUCGAUUCGAAGAUCAAUUUCCAUCUAAACUCAUCUCCGUCUGUUGCUCUCCUGGCCUUGGCCUCUGAUCAGGUAUAUAUCUGUGUGUUUUAAUGUGCAAAGGGUCGUGUUUUCAGGUGAUUUUAUCAUUAAGAUGCCAAUGUUGACUGCUCCAAGUACAAUUGUUAGCUCGCCUCUAUUGCCAACAUGUACUCACUUCCCGACUCACUUGGGUUCUAUCAGGAAGGGGAUUGAAUCUCACAGAUUAGCUCAGCUGCACCCAGAAAACUAUCUGAGAAGAUAAUCUGCAGAGCAGGGGACUUGCAAUCUACUGAGGUUGGGAGCUGCUUUUGGAGCCUCAUUUAUUUGGCCUGCGAGCUUGAUUUACUUCUCCAGGUCAAGAUCUCCAUCAAAGAGAAGAAAAGUCAUGAAGAAAUUGCAAAACAAAACCUGCCCAAUUAAACAGCAUGGUACUCAAAACUAUCCAAAUUUUGCUAUUUUGAUAACUGCUUCCCACUAUUAACAUCUUAAUGUAUAUAUAAAUAUGCCUACUAUUUUAACAUAAAAAGCAGCCUGUAAAAUAUAUUAUUACUUUCUUUUUUAGCAACUUAUACUUCCUUAGUUAAAUAUAAUGCUACAAAUUAAAUCUCAUUGUAUAUAUAAACAAUCUUAUUUUUUC